GUGUACACUGUGCUUGCCGUGGCCAUGUUCUCACACUGACUGUACGGAAAGAGGAGGUGAAGUAAACUCUUCUCUGCACACCCCAGUCCAGGCCACUUGCCUGCUCUGUAUUGUGAAUAGGGCAACAAGA